UAAAACUAUUUCAGUGACUCAGAAAGAGCAAGCUACUCUCCUGACACCACAUGUUAAUAGUUUGUGAUAUUAUUAUAGUAAUCAACCAAGUAUCUACAUUGCGACCCUGCUUGUUCUACCUUGAAUGCGGUGACUAGGAGAUUGCCUCCUCUUCACCCAUUGUAAAUAACUAGAGAUAAAACAAUCCUAAUGAGGACCCACAUACUGAAAGAACUGUGUAAAAUGUAUACUCUUUUCUGUGGUAGGUACAAGCAGGGGACAAGGGAAGGAUGCCUGGACUCACACUCAUCACAGACCACUGCCUAAAGCCUUCACCUGAUUCUCUGUCUACUCCUGUAGCCACAGGCAUCCACCCGCAUUCCAGUUCCCGAAUAAUGACUCAGAAGCUUAUUAUGUAGUAUUUAAACUAGGUUUAUUCACAGACGAGUUUGUAACCUGUUUAUACUAUGCUAUGUCUGCCAAAUGGCUAGUUACCUCUCCUCUACUUCCUCCAAGUGCGGGUGGCAAAUCUUCCCACUCACCCAUCUUCCAGAGUUCCCCUCUCUACCAGAUGUCCCAUCCUCUAAUCCUGCCUCAGGUAAUAGGCCAUCAGAUAUGUAUGUGACACACAGUGCAAAAGAGAUUAUCCAGAUGUGUCUCCCUUUUGAACUAAUAAAGAGCUCUUUAUCUAGUAUCAAUAAACUAUCCACAGUAAGAACAAUUAUGAAAACUAUCAAGAAUUAUAUCCACAGUGUCCAGUCACAUGCCUUUAAGAACUGUGGGGGAAGUGCUCCAUUAUCUAUCUGGGUAAGCACCAAGUUCUGUACCUAAAUCAUUUUCUAUCGUAAUUUGCAUUACCAACCUAAAGACAUCAUCUUAGACCUUAAAUCAUUUUCUUAGAUCCUAAACAGCUUAAGUUUGAUGAGACUAUAACUAGCUAAUCUUCAAUCCUGUCAGAGACCUGAGAAGGAGAAAAUUUACCUCAAUAAAUAGAAAGUACAGAGGAAGCAGCUUUGUCUCUAUAGAAAUGGCUGAGGUUCCUGGCUAACUGGGCAGCCACCCAAGGUUCCCUGUGUCCUGUGUUGGAGCAUCAUCUUCAGCCUUCUGAAUCUCUGACGGACAUUCUGUGAAGCAGGAGUGGAAAGACUUGCCUACUUUGUCUUUACAGAGCUCAGUGAUAGACUCCCCUGCAUCCCAUUUGUCCAGAUUGGACAGCAUGCUGGCAGCAGUCAGGGCAGGGUGGUUUGGGGGCUGUUUGUCCCCCCCAGUUGUUGUUGUUGUUGUUGUUGUCCCCCGAACCCCGCCUGGCAGCAGCUUUGCCACACU
rnacentral:lncRNA from 1 species